UACAGAGGUGGCAAGCGUUGUCCGGAUUUAUUGGGCGUAAAGAGCUCGUAGGUGGUUCGGUAAGUCGGAUGUGAAAUCUCCAGGCUCAACCUGGAGGGGUCAUUCGAUACUGCCGUGACUAGAGGUCGGUAGGGGAGUGUGGAAUUCCUGGUGGAGCGGUGAAAUGCGCAGAUAUCAGGAGGAACACCCGUAGCGAAGGCGGCACUCUGGGCCGAUACUGACACUGAGGAGCGAAAGCGUGGGGAGCGAACAGG
rnacentral:rRNA from 1 species